GCAAGGGGAGACAGUUGUCUGGGGGCCCCACUGCCUGGAGGGGCCCCCCAGAGGCACCUCACGUGACUCCCCAUUGCCCCCUGCCCAGCCCCAAGGCCCCUCAGCCACUUGCCCUGUUCGCCGUCUCUCCUGCUUGUUCUGCUGGCCGGCAAUCGAGCAGCAGACAAGCUGCAAAGAGCUCCUUUUCUGCCGCCUCUCAGCUGAUCGGCGGGUGGGCGGGGCUUCCACGGAGGUCUGGUGUAGGCCUCUGUGAAGCCUGAACUCGAGUAGGGCCCAAGCCAGCCAGGAAGGAGGAGGCAGCCAGAGAGGCCUCCACUGUUCUCUGCAGCAGAAGACCCCCUGCUGCCAGCACACCUGCAGCAGAACCCAUUAUGAAGUGAUCUGCUAAAACUACCUCCUAAUGUGUGGGAAAAUAAAGUGAGCUCAUCCAUGAGACCUGGAAAGCCUGAAAAGUACUGAAACGCAGACUAAACCUGAGCAGAUGGUGAAGGGCUAGUGUGACUGCUUUGUCGUGCAUUAUGUAUCUCCCAGACGGGUCUGAUAUUCAACCCAGAGAGGUCAGUCUUUCCUGCCACGUAGUCUUGAAAAGAAAAGUCAUCUGGAACGCAGACAGGAAGCUUUGGCUCAAAAGCUUUUGAUCCAAAGGGACAGCAUUUUCUAAGAGGGAUCAAGCCGAUUUCCUGAGUAAUUUUGAAAAUGUCAAGCAAACUUCAUCAUUAAGGAGAUCUGCCAGUGUACCCAUCUACAAGUGCACCAAACAGACCAACGGACCAAGGAUAGGUAAAGCUAAUCUUCUGCCUCUUGGAAUCUCCUUGCCCCCGCCCCUCUCUUCUAUCUAUCCCUGCCUUCAAGCUCUUUCUACUACAAGCCUUAAGCUGAUUUACCCACAAUUAGUGAAAUUCCUGUUAAGACUGUCAGUUAAGAUUUUAUUGCCUUUCCUAAGCAAACUUUUGUCUUCCUGUACCCCUAUUUUAUCCUAAAUAAAUCUGUUGUAUUGCA